rnacentral:lncRNA from 1 species
AUACAACAGACAAGAACUAAUUUUGUCCUACCUACAUGACUAGUUUCUUCCUUUUCAUUUUCCUGGCACAUUUAGCCCAGUAAAGAGCUAAUUAAAGUCCUUCCCAUUUCUUAGGGUUGCUUGUCUUCCCUGUAGCACAUCUUGCCCUGCUUCUCUGCUUGGCUUCACAUUGCAGCUGGGUACGAAGACGUCAGAGAUUGUCUCCCACAUACUUGGAGGCGCCAGCUACUGUAUUUCUAGUCUCUCUCACUGACAACUGUGUCUGAGAUUUUUCUAGUCUCUCCCAUGUCUCUGCAGGAGCCAACUAUAUAUCUCAGAGUAGGUCUUUUGCUCAGCAAUUAGAAUGCUGGAUUGGGAGAGACAGAAAAGGACAGCUAUGUGUCCUUUAGGACACACCACAUCACCACCCCAAAGUGUAAGAUAUUUUAUUUGCAAGAAGCAAUUUUUUUCCUUUGGUUAUCUCAAGUAAUUCAUUCUUAGGGCAGUAUUUUUAAGGAUCUAUUAUAUGCAAGGCACUGUAUUUCUUCUGGUGGAAAGACAGGGGAAGAAGUCUCAGGCAAAGGAAAUAACACAAGGGAGUUUUUGAAUGGGAUGGACUUUGACCAGCCAAGGAACUGGAAGCACAUUGGUGUGGCAGGAACAUGACAGGCAAGAGGAAGAUGGAGAAUGGACAGAGACUGCUGCAAGUUCCUGGUGUCAGGACAGAGAAAGAACUCACAAGGAGGGCAGGCAUGGUGAACAUCAUCUCCAGUGGUCAUGCCUUUUACUGAUGGGAUCACUGAGACUGGGGACUGGGGACUGAGAGCCUGCAGGCCAAAUCCGACCUGCUAUCUGCUUUUGUAUGAACUAAGUAUUGUCAUUAUGUUGAGGGCCACAGCCG